UACAGGGGGGGCAAGCGUUGUUCGGAAUUACUGGGCGUAAAGGGCUCGUAGGCGGCCAACUAAGUCGGAUGUGAAAUCCCCAGGCUUAACCUGGGAACUGCAUCCGAUACUGGAUGGCUUGAAUCCGGGAGAGGGAUGCAGAAUUCCAGGUGUAGCGGUGAAAUGCGUAGAUAUCUGGAGGAAUACCGGUGGCGAAGGCGGCAUCCUGGACCAAUAUUGACGCUGAGGAGCGAAAGCCAGGGGAGCAAACGGG
rnacentral:rRNA from 1 species